rnacentral:sRNA from 1 species
AGAUUGUGGAAUUAGGCAGGUAUUUCAAAUGCUUUCUUUUUAAAAGUCCUUUCAUUAUAGAAAUUUUCAACCAUAUUCAAAAGUAGAAAGUAUCCCAUGAACCACCAUACUGUUGUCCUGCUGCAGUAACUGGCCUCAUGGUUCCACGCUGUCUCCUUCCCUUACUUACUUGCUUAUACAGUCGCUUUCUUGGCAGGAGUUUAGCUGAAAUCUACUGCAUGAUGAAAUUUUACCUGUGGAUACUUCACUAGGUGUCUGAGAAGGUCAUAUUUUUGUUUAGUUUUUAUAUAACCACCUUGUCAAUAUUCUGCAAUCCUUUAUCAUCUAAUUUUCUUCUCCUCCGUUCUCCUAAAGUCGUCUUCCAUUGUUUUAAAGCGUCUUCUUUCUUUGGAUGUGAUGGCGCACACCUAUGUCCUCAGCAUUAGAGAGCUGAGGUUCAGGGGCUGCCUGGAUAUCACAUGAGACCCUGUCUCAGAAGCGUACAACCCAAGGACUGAGACUGUGGCUAAGUGGCAGGCCCAAGUUUGAGUCCAAAAUUUGAGUAUUAACAAGUAAUUAACAGUUAAUAUACAGCUGGGUAGUGGUGGCGCACACCUUUGAUCCCAGCACUCAGGACAGAGGCACUAGUUCUCUGAGGGCAGCAAGGGCUACACAGAGAAUCCCUGUCUCAAACAAACCAACAAAAGUUCAAAAAACUGGAGAGAUGACUUAGUUGUUAAGAGCACGACUGCUCUUCCAGAGGACCCAGGUUGAAUCCCCAACACCCACAUGGCAGCUCACAGUUGUCUGCGACUCCAGAUCCAGACAUUCUGACACCUCACAGACAUGGGUACUGGUAAAAUUCUAAAUGCACAUAAAGAAAAAAAUUCAAAAAAACAAUAUACAAUUCUACACACAUACACACACAAACACACACCAAAGCUUUGAAUAACAUACUCCUUACAUGUCCUUCCCUUUCUAUUGAUUUUUUUUUUUUUUUGAGUGAGUGACUGGAUGAGCUGUGCAUCUGUUGGACUCUGCUGGCGCUUCCUCAUUGUGACACUGUUUAUCAGGACCCUGCCUUCCUAUUUCUGUGACUUGACCUUCAGAUCCAGGGAAGAAGACACUUUCCACUUUCUUCCUGGUCAGACCUCCUGGGAUGUCCAACAUUUCACCCUGCUGUAAGUUAUAUUACUAAUAGAAUUUUGGCAUGCAGACUAUCACAUCUUAGUGAAUAACUUUUUAAAGAGUUUUUGAAUGUCAGAGGGCUAGUGACAGAAUAGGAGGUUGAAACGUUUGGUUCUGGUUUCUUUGUAAAGACAUAAUUUCUUAAGCUCUGAAAGAAUCCUGAAAAUUACACUAAAAUAUGCUUUGAUUUCUAAGGGAAAUUGUAAUUUGAUUAUAUUUAGGACAGGAAGAAUGGUCACACAUACUGAUAUCACCCAUCCUGACAGACUAGGCUGCUUCUUCCUACUCAUUAAACCCUCCUCUGCCCACUCCUCACCUUCACUCCUUCCUUGCUCUGACUUCUCUGUGCUCUAUACCAGCGUACAUGCAAGGAACUGUGUACGUUUGACCUACUGGGUAGAAUUUGGUUUUGGGUGUCACUGCU